rnacentral:lncRNA from 1 species
UAAUAUGGCGCUGCGCUUUGUGUGCUGCUGGGUUCGGCAAGUGCGGCCGGGUGUAAAUAUUUGCUAAGUGCAGCGUGUAGUGUGCCUCUACAAGCUCUGCGGCAGAUAUUAAGCAGAUAUGUGGGUCAGUAAAACCACGCAGGAGAAUUCGAAAUGCCGGUUGCACCAAAUGUCGCGUUCGUCGUUUACAGAGACGGUUACCGCGCGAUUGUUGGUUGACAAGCUCAUAAAAGACCGCAAUCCGCUCAGCGUAGCCGAUAUCGCAAAGAAAUAGAGGUCUAUUGGAAAAGUGAGCCAGGUGAGGACAUCAACGAGAGCUACUUUCGCGGGGAUGUCGAUCUUCUUGGAGAGUGCAGGGGCCGGUGGUGAACUCCCACUUACAGUGUUGGCCCUCAUAGAUCAUGAGGUCCAUCUGAGAAGUGGCAUAUUCGUGAAGGAAGAGCAAUGGGCUUGGCUGCUGUCGCGGCCAAGGACUCCUUAUUUUGCAAGGUGGCCACAAAGCUCCUGUGCAGUAUCCUUGAGCUUCAGAACAAGAAUCCCACAGUAGCGCCUUGUCGGCGCUUGGUGCGCCAGGAGGACAAACGGGCCACCGAAGAGGGCCCUGACACCAAGAAAGUUGGAGGCUGUGGCUAGUGGCUUGCAGAAUGUGAAGUGUAGCCGGCAGAUGUGCAUGUGGCUGCCCGGAUGAAAAAGAUGAAUUAUCUCAUUGCCAAAAUGCUUAAUGAUUUAAAUAAAUAAUGAAGAUGC